rnacentral:rRNA from 1 species
UGCCUCAGUAGCGGCGAGUGAAGCGGCAAAAGCUCAAAUUUGAAAUCUGGCGUCUUUGGCGUCCGAGUUGUAAUUUGAAGAAGGUAUCUUUGGGCCCGGCUCUUGUCUAUGUUCCUUGGAACAGGACGUCACAGAGGGUGAGAAUCCCGUGCGAUGAGAUGACCCGGGUCUGUGUAAAGUUCCUUCGACGAGUCGAGUUGUUUGGGAAUGCAGCUCUAAGUGGGUGGUAAAUUCCAUCUAAAGCUAAAUAUUGGCGAGAGACCGAUAGCGAACAAGUACAGUGAUGGAAAGAUGAAAAGAACUUUGAAAAGAGAGUGAAAAAGUACGUGAAAUUGUUGAAAGGGAAGGGCUUGAGAUCAGACUUGGUAUUUUGCAUGCUGCUCUCUCGGGGGCGGCCGCUGCGGUUUACCGGGCCAGCAUCGGUUUGGAGCGGCAGGAUAAUGGCGGAGGAAUGUGGCACGGCUUCUGCUGUGUGUUAUAGCCUCUGACGAUACUGCCAGCCUAGACCGAGGACUGCGGUUUUUAACCUAGGAUGUUGGCAUAAUGAUCUUAAGUCGCCCGUCUUGAAACACGGACCAAGGAGUCUAACGUCUAUGCGAGUGUUUGGGUGUAAAACCCGUACGCGUAAUGAAAGUGAACGAAGGUGGGGGCCCAUUAGGGUGCACCAUCGACCGAUCCUGAUGUGUUCGGAUGGAUUUGAGUAAGAGCAUAGCUGUUGGGACCCGAAAGAUGGUGAACUAUGCCUGAAUAGGGUGAAGCCAGAGGAAACUCUGGUGGAGGCUCGUAGCGGUUCUGACGUGCAAAUCGAUCGUCGAAUUUGGGUAUAG